GCCAGGUGCAGUGGCAUGGACUUGUAAUCUCAGCACUCAAGUGGCUGAGGUGGGAGGAUCACUUGAGCCUAGGAAUUCUGGGCCAGCCUGCACAUAGCCAGACCCCAUCUCUU
rnacentral:sRNA from 1 species